CCCAGAACCCGAUCCCAUCUCGAACUCGGCCGUUAAACACGCCAGCGCCCAUGGUACUGUGUCUCAAGGCACGGGAGAGUCGGUCGCCGCCAGAC
rnacentral:rRNA from 1 species